GAUGAAGAACGCAGUGAAAUGCGAUAAGUAAUGUGAAUUGCAGAAUUCAGUGAAUCAUCGAAUCUUUGAACGCACAUUGCGCCCAUUAGUAUUCUAGUGGGCAUGCCUGUUCGAGCGUCAUUUCAACCCUUAAGCCUAGCUUAGUAUUGGGAAUCGACUUUACUGUCGUUCCUCAAAUUCAACGGCGGAUUUAUAGCAAUCUCUGAACGUAGUAAUUUUUUUUCUCGUUUUUGAAAUACUAUAAACCUCAGCCGCUAAACCCCCAAUUUCUUAUGGUUGACCUCGGAUCAGGUAGGAAUACCCGCUGAACUUAAGCAUAUCAAUAAGCGGAGGA
rnacentral:misc_RNA from 1 species